rnacentral:rRNA from 1 species
CGGCAACAGCUCAAAUUUGAAAUCUGGACGCCUUUGGCGGCCCGAGUUGUAAUUUGUAGAGGAUGUUUCUGGCGACGUGCCUUCCGAGUUCCCUGGAACGGGACGCCAUAGAGGGUGAGAGCCCCGUACGGUUGGAUGCCUAGCCUCUGUGAAACUCCUUCGAC